rnacentral:misc_RNA from 1 species
AAAGCACACAAUACAGCUUGAUGACAAAACUUGUAUUUUACUUUCUUCUCUCUUGUUUUUCAACUCAAAAUAUGGCCAACAAAAACCAUAGCCAUUUUCUUGUAAGUGUCUUGACAACUGCAUUGAAUAUUUGAUUACAUAAAUCCCACCAAAAAUAAGAAAAAUAAUUUAUUUAAAAAAAAAUAAAUUAAAAAGAGAGAGAGAGAGCAGUGGCUGUCAAAAAAACAACUUUUUGUAGUAAAGAAUCCUGUUGCCGGAAAUAUACAACUCAUUGUCCACAAAUAAAAGAUAAACAUGGUAUUUACAUGGACAAAUCUUCUUUAAUCUUGAUGCUGCUAUCUGAAAACAAGGCUUCCAUUCUGUUGAAGCCUUAGAUUUUCCAUGAGUGACUGGUAGAAUGAUUUCAAUGCUUUGAAAUCACUACCCUGCAACUUUUGGCAGUAUUGCUGUGCCAAAUCUUGAGGGCAAUGUGCGGAUGGAAAGCCUUUUGACACAAAAUGAAGGAGAAAUUCAUCACCAAACUUCUCAUACAUGACCUUCUGUGCCUGUACAAUUUCUCCAAACAAAACAAGAGUAUUUGCAUCUUGGAAAUCAAAGGAUUUGUCAAGCACACUAUACAGACAACAAUUGGUUGCAAAGGCCUCAAUUAUGAAACUUUGAAAACCUGAUACCUUUUCUUCCCCACGAGGUUUGUCAUACCAAUCUUUAAUUAAUCUAAUGAAUAUCUGCACACAUGCCUUUCUUACAAGGAUAUCCUUGUGAUUACAAGCUGCGUACAGCAGCAACUGCAUCAAAGAAUCCAAGUAGACCCUACUUUUGGGUGAAAGGAAGAUUGAGGAUAGACCGUGCGUCGUUAUCACAUGCAGAAAUGUGUACAAUGUCUUCUGAAGUUCUUGUAAUUCACGGAUUUCCUCAGAAUUGGUUCCAGGUCCUGAAGGAAAUGCAUCCUUUGGGAUAACGUUAAAUACCCUGCCAGCAAUGGCUGGAAAAACUUCCUCCAUUAUGUCACGAACCGAGGUGUUGAAUUUGCAAAUAAGUUGGUUGAGUAGUAAAAGAAAACCAACCAUUUCCUUCAGCUCACAUUCUGCAAGCAGCUGCUCCAAUGCCUUUGGAAGAUAAGGAAAUACAGAUGCUCCUAAAGUGUCCACCAUCCGAUGUAUAAAGGAUGUGACCUUAAUCCGGAGAGGCUCUAUCUUCGGAAACACAACAAGAAUUUGUAGAAGAACAUCCAAUGUCUGGAACAACAAGAGGGGAAACUAAAAUUUAAAACAACAGAGGGGAAAUUGAAAAAGUCCAAUCAAUAGCAGCAGAUCCUUCACCCGACCAUUUUUAAGGAGGUAAUUUGAACAUCACAGCCAUCAACAAGAUAAUAUAUAUGACGCAGCUUCUUGAUCAUAAAAAGUUGAAGAUAUAAAUUUGAACAAAGAUUUAUUAACUCAUUGGUUUUUGCAAAUUGAAGGGGGAAACCAUAGGUAGCACGUAGUACAAGAAAUAUAACACAAAAGAUAUUAAAUAACAACCUGCUUAAACAUGAGACCUAUUGCAGGACGACUAGCAGUUACAAGACGCUCACUGAACCCCUUGCUGAGUGCAUUAAUUGCCAUGAUUAUUUGCUGCAUAUUUACAAUUUUCGCUGGAUACUCUUCUGAAUUUAGCAAUUUGGCAUUCAUGAGCAAAAUCUCAACCUGGUGGCAAAGAGGAGUCAGCAGUGAAGAAAGGUAAUCAGCUUGUUUUUGCAGUGGUACAUCUUCCAUACCAAUUAACAAACCAAUUGCCUCAAAAAUGUGGCUACCAUCUUCAGGACCUGUAAAUUCAUUUGAUGUAUAAUCCAUGCUUGUAAAUCGAGCAACUGUGUCUUGGAGGCUCUGCAAAAUUGUCUCUAUGAAAGGCACAAGCUUUGCUUUCAACAAUUUUACAACCCUCAUGAACAAAUAACUUGCUCUACGACUGACAUGGAUGUUUGGGUGGUGUAUUCCUCUCUCAUCCAGAAAGGCAGCCAAAGCCAUGGGGAUAUAUUGCAUAUUCUCCUGAACGAACUUCAUAUAUCUAGUUAUUGUCUCCAAAUACACAAGGGCAACUAACCUAUUAGAAUGACAAGGAAACCUUGUAGAAAGAAGCAUCGGCACCAGUUCACCCAACAGUCCACUUCCAGCUCUCAUGGCUUCAUCACUUAAUGAUUCUCCUAGCGCGUACAAAAGAGAAAGAGCAGCUUCCACCUCUUCAACAUUUAUUUCUGAUGAAGAUGCAACAGCACUCUCCAAAGAAUUUCUUAUAAAUAUUUGAGUGAUAUCAGGUGCCACCCGACCCACACUACGCAACAACACAAAUAAGUCCUUUCUAAAUUCAACCAUCCGAUCUUCCUCUUCUCUUCCAAUCUUAUCAAACAAAUCAAGAUUAUUCUGGUACAUAGGAUCAUAUCGAAUUUGUGAAUGAAUGACCUCCAAUAUCUGACCCACAUAAUGUGCUUGUUUCUCUCUUAAUGGAGAAAGGCUCUUCAUAGUGGCAACAUAAUCUGAAAGAAAUUGUACAAUACUAAAUGCGGUGUCCACCUCACAAUUCUGCAUUACAAAAAAAACUGAUGGCAAAACCUCAUUCAAAAGCUCUAGUGAAACCUCCUUAGCAUCUUCUGUACCAACCCGUUUAUAGCACUCCAAAACCUCCCCAGCAUACCCAGUAAUUAAUGAAGCUAUUUUUGACACUAACUCUGAGUCACUGUUCCCAGUUACCAAAGCAAAAACCCUACUGAUCUGAAGAUUCUGCAAUAUUGUUAACUUUGACAGUGGAUCCAUCCGCUUAGAAACCACUGCCAAAACACACCCAGCAGCUGCACCCUGAAGCUGCUCAAAUUCUUCAUCAACUAGUAUCAACUCGAAUAACAAUGGAAGAAAAACAUCAUUUACUAUCAACCCAAUAUCAAUCCAUGAAAUAUACCUGCGCAUUGAAUCUAAGACGCUAGAACACAGCUCUGGAUCAGAAUUCCUAUACAUAGAUACAAUGCCAAACCAUGCUCUCACAAUCUGACCCACACAUUGCUGCCUCAUUGCAUCCUUAACCCGCCCUGCAACCCCCAUGUCCUCAGGAGUACGAGGGUAAUCUAAACUAAUUAAUUCAUCAUCCAGUGCAUUCAAGACCCGACAAAACAUAUCAAUAACUAUACCUCCUUUACUUAAACAAGGCAAAAAAUCAACAAACACUGAAGACCAAAUUACUGGGUACUCAAAAUAAAUCAAGGUAACCAAAACCUGAGCAAGCUUGUUCUUUAUAAAUGCAGGACCCUCUAAAACCCUAACAGCAUUGCUCUCAUCAAUCACAUCAAAGCAGCAUAUAGAAAAUACUGAUUUCCGAACAAAAUCCUUCUCUUCCAAACUUAACAGAGCAUACUUGACCCUAAUAACCUCAUGUAGAGUCUGUAAACACCAAAACUGAACUUGAAUAAGAUUGCAAAAACACAAUUUCUCAACACAUAUCCUACAUAUUGUCCGGGCUUCCUUAAUUUGCUGACAGAAAGAAACUGCUUGUGAUUUUAGCGCAGAAUCUAUAGUGCCCGAUUCAUCAAAACUUAUAAGUAUUGCUUUUUCAAGAUCAUCCAUUGAUUAAUGUAGCAGUUGAAACAGAAAACCCAAUAAAUUUAUUCUUUUCUCUUGUCGGAUAUUGAAAAACUGAGAUAGAAUCCAACUAACUGCGAGGGAGGUUUUACUAUUUGGCGAGUUUGGGAUGAAGGGUUGAGAGAAAGCUUACCACUUCGGUGAAUUUGAGAGAUCUUUAUAUAAUGUAUGUGAUUGAUUUGAAGGAGUAGGGUUUUUGGAGAGAGAAGGCGAAAACCCUAAGGACCGCGUUUGGACUGUGU